GACGAACGCUGGCGGCGUGCUUAACACAUGCAAGUCGAGCGGUAAGGCCCUUUCGGGGGUACACGAGCGGCGAACGGGUGAGUAACACGUGGGUGACCUGCCCUCAGCUCUGGGAUAAGCCUGGGAAACUGGGUCUAAUACUGGAUAUGACUCCACGGUGCAUGGCGUGGGGUGGAAAGCCUUGUGCGGCUGAGGAUGGGCCCGCGGCCUAUCAGCUUGUUGGUGGGGUGANGGCCUACCAAGGCGACGACGGGUAGCCGGCCUGAGAGGGCGACCGGCCACACUGGGACUGAGACACGGCCAGACUCCUACGGGAGGCAGCAGUGGGGAAUCUUGCGCAAUGGGCGAAAGCCUGACGCAGCGACGCCGCGUGACGGGAUGACGGCC
rnacentral:rRNA from 1 species